UACGAAGGGGGCUAGCGUUGUUCGGAAUUACUGGGCGUAAAGCGCACGUAGGCGGAUAUUUAAGUCGGGGGUGAAAUCCUGGAGCUCAACUCCAGAACUGCCUUUGAUACUGGAGAGCUUGAGUCCGGAAGAGGUGAGUGGAACUCCGAGUGUAGAGGUGAAAUUCGUAGAUAUUCGGAAGAACACCAGUGGCGAAGGCGGCUCACUGGACCGGUAUUGACGCUGAGGUGCGAAAGCGUGGGGAGCAAACAGG
rnacentral:rRNA from 1 species